rnacentral:rRNA from 1 species
ACGGGAGGCAGCAGUGGGGAAUAUUGCGCAAUGGGGGAAACCCUGACGCAGCGACGCCGCGUGAGUGAGGAAGUAUUUCGGUAUGUAAAGCUCUAUCAGCAAGGAUGAUAAUGACGGUACUUGACUAAGAAGCCCCGGCUAACUACGUGCCAGCAGCCGCGGUAAUACGUAGGGGGCAAGCGUUAUCCGGAUUUACUGGGUGUAAAGGGAGCGUAGACGGUUCGGCAAGUCUGAUGUGAAAGCCCGGGGCUCAACCCCGGGACUGCAUUGGAAACUGUCGAACUAGAGUGCAGGAGAGGUAAGUGGAAUUCCUAGUGUAGCGGUGAAAUGCGUAGAUAUUAGGAGGAACACCAGUGGCGAAGGCGGCUUACUGGACUGUAACUGACGUUGAGGCUCGAAAGCGUGGGGAGCAAACAGGAUUAGAUACCUUGGUA